rnacentral:rRNA from 1 species
ACAUAACUGAUGCCUCCGCGUAUCGACUUUGUGCGCAUUUUAGCUAUUAUGUGUUCUUUUAAUUAAAAUGAUUCUUUUUAAGAUUCAUCUAUUAAAAAUUUGCUUCGGCAUAAUUUUUUUUGAUGAUCUUGUUACUUUGAGUAAAUUAGAGUGUUCAAAGCAAACAGAUAUAGCAUUUGUGCGUUUGAAUACUACAGCAUGGAAUAACAAAAUUGAACAAGUCAGAAUUUUUUUGUUCUUUUUUCUUAUUUUGGCUUAGUUACGAUUAAUAGGAGUAGCUUGGGGGCAUUUGUAUUCAGAUGUCAGAGGUGAAAUUCUUAGAUUUUCUGGAGACAAACAACUGCGAAAGCAUUUGCCUAAAAUACUUCCAUUAAUCAAGAACGAAAGUUAAGGGAGUGAAGACGAUCAGAUACCGUCGUAAUCUUAACCAUAAACUAUGCCGACUAGGCUUUGGAUGAAAGAUUUUAAAAUAAGAGUUUUUCUUUUCUCUCCGGAGAUUAGAACUCUUAGAUUGCUUCCUUCAGUGCCUUAUGAGAAAUCAAAGUCUUUGGGUUCUGGGGCGAGUAUUCGCGCAAGCGAGAAAGUUAAAAGAAUUGACGGAAGGGCACCACCAGGCGUGGAGCUUGCGGCUUAAUUUGACUCAACACGGGAAAACUCACUAGUUUAAGACAAGAGUAGGAUUGACAGAUUAAUAGCUCUUUCUUGAUUUCUUGGAUGGUGAUGCAUGGCCGUUUUUAGUUCGUGAAUAUGAUUUGUCUGGUUAAUUCCGAUAACGAACGAGAUCUUAACCUGCUAAUUAGCGGCAAAUACGAUAUAUUCUUAUGUAGAAUUGAAUAUAGUGGAUUUGUUGGAUUUUGAAGAAAAUAUUGGAAUUACGUUAAAUGUGAUUCCUUUCCCUUUUCUACUUAAUUUACAUUUCCAUCUAUUUCUUUUUUGCGUAUGAAUGUAUUUGCUUGAUUGUAAAGCUUCUUAGAGGAACGAUGUGUG